UACGUGAAACCGUUCGGGGGAAAACGGACAGAGCCCGUUAAUCCUUACCAUUGAAUUCAGGGUUAAUAUGUGCUUUUUGGGUGCAUAUUGGCUUGAUAUUUCGAUGGUUAUCAGGACGUUGCGACCCGUUUGUGGUUAAUCGAUGGGUUGACGGUUUAGUUUGUCGUAAUUAUGAUGGUUUACUGUUAUGAUUACGGUAAUGCCGUUGAUUGCAGGUUAACCGGCAGACGGUAUGUUUAUGAUGGUGUCCGGUUCGCCGGUGCCGGUCAGCAACGAUUAUUCGGGCCUCUUUCCGACCCGUCUUGAAACACGGACCAAGGAGUCUAACAUGUGCGCGAGUCAUUGGGUGUCGUUGAACUAGUUUUUGGUUCAAGGUUAUUUGUGAAACCCAUUUUAAGGCGUAAUGAAAGUGAAUUGCGGGAAGACCACGUCCGAGUCACGUUCCUUGGUGACAUAAUGACCGAGGCCGGACGUGUGCAUUCUCGGGGCGUCCUGCGGAUCCGUUUAACGACGGAUCGGGGUGCACCCUUAGCGUACACGUUGGUACCCGAAAGAUGGUGAACUAUGCCUGGGCAGGAUGAAGUCAGGGGAAACCCUGAUGGAGGUCCGCAGCGGGUUCUGACGUGCAAAUCGAUCGUCUGACCUGGGUAUAGGGGCGAAAGACUAAUCGAACCAUC
rnacentral:rRNA from 1 species